GUUAAGUUAGUUUAUAUAUUAAAACAUCAACCUGUGGAUUUGAAAAAAGGAAGAAUUCCUACUUAACC
rnacentral:tRNA from 1 species